UACUUUUGUUCUCCUUUUAUCAAACGAUACCGUAGAACUACGACAAGAACUGUUAUUUAUCUUUCUUCACUCGUAGUUGCAAGUGUUCUUCAAUGUAACUAUCGCUUUUGUCGUGUUUUCUCUGAAAGCACUCGAUUCUUUAGAUAAGAUGAAAAUCUUGUCGGAAAACUUCAAUAUGACCUGCCUUUCGUUCGUUGAAACGAAAAUUGUGGUUCGAAGAUUAGUUGAACAAAU